UACGUAGGGUGCGAGCGUUGUCCGGAAUUAUUGGGCGUAAAGGGCUCGUAGGCGGUCUGUUGCGUCGGGAGUGAAAACUCAGGGCUUAACCCUGAGCCUGCUUCCGAUACGGGCAGACUAGAGGUAUGCAGGGGAGAACGGAAUUCCUGGUGUAGCGGUGAAAUUCGUAGAUAUCGGGAGGAACACCGGUGGCGAAGGCGGCGACCUGGGUCGAUACUGACGCUGAGGUGCGAAAGCGUGGGGAGCAAACAGG
rnacentral:rRNA from 1 species